AUGCUAGCCUGUUCAGGCCGCACACCGACUCAGGAAGUUAACGUGUUAGUAUUCUCACUUGCAGCCGAAACGGAGGCGAAGAGAUUACCGCCUGAGAGUCCCACGAACAAAGCGAGGUGGAGCGGAGACUCGAACCCGGAAUAUGGGACUUCACGGCUAGAUUCUUGGCCUCGACUACCGUCUUCUGCUGCCGACUCGCACCAAACAAGAAUAGAAGAACUCCUGUCUAACGAAGGUAAUACAGCAGAGAAACUGGAGGGGAUGUUCCAAAUCCAAGCUCCAGAAAGGGCAGCCAAGGAAGUCCAGAGAAUGAGAGUAAUGAUAGUGGACUGUAGUUUUUUUGGCUUUGCUUUUGCCUGUCCAGCGUCCAUUCUUCCUCCUGACAUAGCCCUCAUUUCCCUUUGGGGUCUUUAUCCUCCUCUAGUGGAUAGAGUGUUGGUAGUACUGUCAUUGACGAUGCUCAUCCUCCCCUGGCCAAAGAUAGGAGGCCUACUGGGUGCCCUCUUUCAUGAGUCCUGAGCAGCACUGCCUCCUGAAAUCCUUCCCUCCUCUAGGGCAGGUUCCUCUCAUGUCCCCAGAGUUCCAGCUGUCAGAACGCUUAUGAUGCCAGUCUGUUUAUAUGUUCCUGCUCCUGAGGCCUUUUACCCUUUCUGACAUAUACUUGGUGCACAAUAAGUAUUGAAUGAAUGAAUGAUGCCCACAUUGCUUAGAGUUGAUGGAGAGACCUGAAUAUUAGAUAAAAAGAUUAGAGCUACUUUAGUAGAUGUGCCAGAGAACGUGGCAGCAGCUGCCAGGCACUCCAGUCUAACUCCAGCCCUUGUGGCCACCUUUCCUGAGCUGGGACACUCUUGCCCAGCCUGGUACAGCCAUCCCUGAAUUCCACUGUCCUACUUGGGCCUUAGUUUCUAUCCCUUCCAGUUGUAUUCCUGGGCCUGGAGCCUCAUCCUUGCAAAAGCUUGAAAGGAUGUGGUUGGGGUGUUACCAAAAGAUCACACAAGGGUACAUUUACUUUAGCUCGCUACACUCCUCAGACUGGCUCUGCUUGGGAGAUUUAGAAAUCUGGACAGUUAGGGAGGGUGCUCCUGUCAUUGUUUCCCUCUGAUUCCCUUGGUGUGCAGGCACUUGACACAUUUUGCUUUAGAAAUGUCAAUACCUUUCAGUUUGGUCUGACUUUGGCCUAUGGCCAUUCUGACUUUUUAGGGUAAUUAGUGAGUGGCUAGGCUGGGAUUCAGACCCCUGCAGUCUGACUCCAGAGUCCUUGCUCACAACCACUACACUCUACUGCUUUGUCAAGAGAAGCACAAAAUUCUUUUCUUGUGCUGAAGAAGGUUUAGACCUCCUUCCCCAAAUCAGAUUCCUUAAAUCUGUCUGUAGUUUUCCUAUCUCUUAAAAAAAGAGAGUUUUAAAAACUAGAGAGGAGAGAAGCGGAUGUGGCUCAAGCAAUUGGGCUCCUGUCUACCAUAUAGGAGGUCCAGAGUUCUAUGCCUGGGGCUGGUGAAGGCAAGCUGGCCCAUGUGGUGAGCUGGCCCUCACAGAGGGCUGGCCUAUGCGGAGGGCUGGCCUGCACAGAGUACUGCCCUGCGCACGAGUACUGGCCCACGUGGAGAGCUGGCACAGCAAGAUGACGCAACAAAAAGAGACACAGAGAAGGGAUAAUAAGAGAUGCAGCAGAUCAGGGAGCUGAGGUGGCACAAGAGAAUGAUCGCCUUUCUCCCACUCUGAACCUGGGAUCAGUUCCCCAAGCCACCUAAAGAGACUACACGCAGGGAAGCGGAUUUGGCUCACCUGUUGAGUGUCUGCCUACCACAUGGGAGGUCCAGGGUUCAAACCCAGGGCCUCCUGAACCCUGUGGUGAGCUGGCCCACUGUGUGUGGGGUGCUGUGCCAUGCAGGGGUGUCCUCCCCGUAGGGGAUCCCCAUGCAUAAGGAGUGCGCCCAAUAAGGAGAGCCACCCCACACGAAAAAAAAUGCAGCCUGCCCAGGAGUGGUGCCACAUACACAGAGAGCUGACACAGCAAGAUGAUGCAACAAAAAGAGACAGAUUCCCAGUGCCGCUGAUAAGAAUAUAAGUGGACACAAAAGAACACACAGUGAAUGGACACAGAGCAGACAACUGGGGGGGAUGGGGAAGGGGAGAGAAAUAAAUUUAAAAAUUAAAAAAAAAAAAAGGAAUACAAGCAGACACAGAAGAACACACAGUGAAUGGACACAGAAAGCAGACAACCGGGGGAGGAAUAAAUAAAUCUUAAAAGAAUUAGGAAGAGAGAGUAUGAGAAUGAUUAUUAAAUAUUACAGUCGGUAAUUUUUUUAAAAAAUUAAUAAUAUCUGCUUAUCUUAGACAUAACCAUUAGUAGAACAAGCAGAAUAUAUAACCUUCAAACCAGUGGGUGGGUUCUGUCAAGGUUCUGGUUGCAAACAACAGAAAAUGGCUCUGGCCAACAUAAGCAGCUAAGGGAUUUAUUGAAAGGCUACCAGUAGCUUAAAAUAUCAACAGGAAGGAUGGAAAACCUGGGUGAGAAAGCAGACAGAAACCAGGGGAUAGUCUGCCUAGUGCGCUGUGGUUAGCACUCCUGCCCCUGGGCACACUAGCUGUCCUGGGUCUUGGUAUCAGUUGGCCAGAUCCAGGUCCAUGUUGCAUCGUGCUGCUGGCUGGUCCACACGGUACCACACGGUAUACUUCAGCAGGGGCAGAGAUUCUUUUCAGCUUCUGUAGUGGGAGCCUGGGCCUGGUCUCUCACCAAGAGUCACUCUAUGAGGGAUUCUCCCCAAUGGGAAGGGAGUUCAAAUGCUACAGGACCCUGUCCCCCCCAAAACAAACAAACAAACAAAUCCUCUAUUAGGAAAACUUGAUUGGCCAUUAGAAGACAAGAAUGGGGCAGAUGGAGAGACUGAGAAAUGGGUAAAAGAGGAUGGGCUCAAAACCAUCUUGAAAAAUAAAAAUAAUUGGAGGACUCACUUGUCCCAAUUUUAAAACUUUCUGAAGAGCUACAAUAAUCACCCUGUAGUACUGGCACAAAGAAAGCUAUACAGAUGAAUGGAAUUUCAUUGGGAGUUCAGAAAUAAACCCUUAUAUCUAUGGCCAGUUGAUUGUUGACAAGGGUACCAAGUCUACUCAGUGGGGAAAUAACAGUCUCCUCAACAGCAGGCCUGGGAAGACGAUAUCCACAUGCAAAAGAAUGAAAGUGGACCCCUACCUCACACCAUAUACAAAAAUUAACUGAAAAUGUAUCAGAGACAUAUAUAAAAAUAAAAACUGUAAAACUCCUAGAAGGAAAUGUGGGGAAGCAUCUUUAGGAUCUUGUGUUAGACAAUAAUUUCUUAGAUUUUACAUGGAAAACACAGCAACAAAAGAAAAAAGUAGGUAAGUGGGACUUAAAAUUAAGAACUUGUACAUCAAAGGACUUUAUCAAGAAAGUAAAAAGACAACCAAGAUGGUGGGAGGAAAUACUUGAAAACUAUCUGAUAAGGGUUUAAUAUCCAUAAUAUAUGAGGAACUAUAAACAACAAAAAGACAACCCAAUUAAGAAAUGGACAAUAGAUUUGAGUAGACAUUUCUCCAAAAGACAUAUACAAAUGGCCAAUAAUCACACAAAAAGAUGCUCAACAUCAUUAGUUAUUAGGGAAAUGCAUAACAAAACCACAAUGAGAUACCACUUCACACCCACCAGAAUGAUUACUAUUAAAAAACAGAGCAGAUGUGGCUCAAACAGUUGAGUGCCUGCUUCCCACAUGAGAGGUCCCAGGUUGGGAUCCUGGUGCCUCCUGGAAAAGAACAACAACAAGCAAAACAAAAGAAAAAAACAACUCAGGGUGGCCAAUGUGACUCAGUGGCUGAGUGCUGGCUUCCUACAUACGAGGUCCUGGGUUCAAUCCCCAGCCCCCAGUACCUAAAAACAAAACAAACAGAAAAUAAGUAUUGGGGGGAAACGGACUUGGCCCAGUGGUUAGGGCGUCCGUCUACCACAUGGGAGGUCUGCAGUUCAAACCCCGGGCCUCCUUGACCCGUGUGGAGCCGGCCCAUGUGCAGUGCUAAUGUGCGCAAGGAGUGCCCUGCCAUGCAGGGGUGUCCCCCGCGUUGGGGAGCCCCACGUGCAAGGAGUGCACCGUAAGGAGAGCCGCCCAGUGCGAAAGAAAGUGCAGCCUGCCCAGGAAUGGCGCCGCCCACACUUCCCGUGCCACUGACGACAACAGAAGCGGACAAAGAAACAAGACGCAGCAAAUAGACACAGAGAACAAACAACCGGGGCAGGGGGGGCAGGAAUUAAAUGAAUAAAUAAAUCUUUAAAAAAAAAAAAAAAGUAUUGGGGAGGAUGUGGAGAAAUAGGAACCCUUGUACAUUGGUGGUGGAAAGGUAAAAUGAUACAACUGCUCUAGAAGGCAGAUUGGCAGUUUCUUAGAAAGUUAAGUGUGGGAUUAUGUGACCUGGCAGUCCUACUUCUAGGUAUAUAUCCAAAAAACUUGAAAGCAUGGACUCGAGGUGUUUGCACAUCCAUGUUCAUAGCAGCAUUAUUCACAAUUGCCAAAAGUUGGAAGCAACCCAACUAUACAUCAGCAGAUGAAUGGAUAAACCAAAUGUGGUCUAUAUAUAUAAUGCAUUAUUAUCCAGCCAUAAAAAAGAAUGACGUUCUGAUAUAUGCUUGAAGACAUCAUGUUGAGUGAAUUAAACCAAAAACAAACCAACAAAUAUUGUAUGAUCUCACUUAGAUGAAGUAAUUAGUGUUUCUAAAUUCAAGGAGUCAGAAACUAGAACACAGGUAAGCAGCAGCCAGGUUGGGGAGGGAAGUGGGAGUUGACGGGAAGGAGUUUCAGAUUGGGUUAGGGAAAAAUUUUGGAAAUGGAUGAUGGUGGUGGUGGCACAAUAUUGUGAAUGUAAUUAACACAGCUGAACUGUAAAUUGAAGGUGGAUAAAACUGGAAAUUUUAAGCUAAGGAAUAAAAAAAAUGAGACAUGCUCACAGAUGUCAGGAGGGAUUUUGGAAAUAGCCUGUGACUAUGUAAAGAC
rnacentral:lncRNA from 1 species